rnacentral:rRNA from 1 species
CCAGACUCCUACGGGAGGCAGCAGUGGGGGAUAUUGCACAAUGGGGGGAACCCUGAUGCAGCGACGCCGCGUGGGUGAAGGAGCGUUUCGGCGCGUAAAGCCCUAUCGGCAGGGAAGAAGGAGGACGGUACCUGACUAAGAAGCCCCGGCUAACUACGUGCCAGCAGCCGCGGUAAUACGUAGGGGGCAAGCGUUAUCCGGAUUUAUUGGGUGUAAAGGGUGCGUAGACGGGAUUACAAGUUGGUUGUGAAACCCCUCAGCUCAACUGAGGAACUGCAACCAAAACUAUAAUUCUUGAGUGCAGGAGAGGAAAGUGGAAUUCCUAGUGUAGCGGUGAAAUGCGUAGAUAUUAGGAAGAACACCGGUGGCGAAGGCGACGUUCUGGACUGUAACUGACGUUGAGGCACGAAAGUGUGGGGAGCAAACAGGAUUAGAUACCCGUGUAGGG